rnacentral:rRNA from 1 species
UUUAAGCAUAUCACUCAGUGGAGGAAGAGAAAGCAACUGCGAUUGCUGCAGUAAUGGCGAAUGAACGGGCAAGCACAGCUGUCCCGAAGUGAAUCCCAACUGCAAUAUCAUUGCAUUCGGCUCUUGUGGGUUUCAGCAGAUGCUGUGGGCAACGGACUGGGUGGCUAUGUCUUGUCCUGGCCAACACCAAGAAGUGACCUGGAAUGGUCCACAACAGAGGGAUACUGUCCCAUAUGGUGCUGUGUGCUUGGCCAGGCAGGUGUGGCUGCCUGGAUCCAGAAGUAGAGUGGCUUGGGACUGCAGUUUGAAGCGUGAUGUGUAUCCAUCACAAGGAAGCAUACUUGACAUGGGACCGAUAGCGCACAAGUAGAGUGAUUGAAGGAUGCAAAGGACUUUGCAAAGAGAGUUAAAAGUCCCUGAAGCCUCAGCAGGAACGGCGGAGAUUGAUGCUGUUACAGUGGAACUUCAGGCCCCAUGGCCAGCUGAAGGUGGAGUGUCUUUGCGAGUCUUCGAGCGAGGCACUGCCCUGCGGUUGCGCCACGGCCUUCCUCGUCAACCAAGCAGCCCUGGGCCAACCUCUCGGUUGAUCGCUGAGCCCUGCCCUCAAGGGUUGGAGGACCAUCGCGACAGCCAUUGGUGACACACUGUGUGUCAGGGCCUGGGGCUUGUGAUGUGAUUGUCAUAGCGAUUCGAAUGGCUUAGAGAGGCACUGUCUGGGAAGGGUGCAGAGAUGCCCCACUCGGGGCGCACCGAGCCUGCCACCAAACAGGCACCAGGCGGCUGUCAUCUCGCAACAGAAUGAGAGUGUGCUGAGCCUGGUGUGUCUUCGGACAUGCCAGUGACCAUGCAGUAUCCUUGGUUUGGAGCUGGCGGUUGCACGGUGGCUGCACCACUCUGAUGGUGGCUCCUGUGCGACUGCUGGCUUCCCAGAUGGUGCAUGGGCCAGAAGGCAGCAGAGCUUGGUACAGCAGUGCCACUCUCUGCCCGUCUUGAAACACGGACCAAGGAGUCUAUGGAGCUUGCAGGUUUGAAGGUGUUAUCAGCAAACCACAAGGCGUGGUGAAGGCAAGUCAUCCCAGAUGGUGCAUACUGGAGUCAAAGUCAAAGGGCAUUGGCCGCGGGCCAUGGCUGGCAUGUGGAAUGUCUGUGCCAGGUCCCUGUGACCCGCGCCUUGUCUCUGAGACUCAAGUUGCGAGAUUGCUGCAUGGGACACCGGUCUUGAUGUCCAGUGGACUGAGUUCUGAGUGAUUGCAAGGUCCAUGGGACCCGAAAGGUGGUGAACUAUACCAUUCUAUGGUGAAGCCGUGGGAAACUGCGGUGGAGGCCAGUCGCUGUUCUGACGUGCAAAUUGUGUAGCCUGAGCGUGGCAUAGGGGUGAAAGGCCAAUCGAGCCACCUAGUAGCUGGUUUCCCUCGAAGUUUCCCUCAGGAUAGCUGGGCUCAGAUGCAGAGUCAACAUCAAGUGAUUAUGUCCGGUAAAGCAACGCAUGAGAGGCAACCUGGGCAGGCUUCCCUGCUCAACCUAUUCUCGAACUGUGAAUGGGCAUGGAUACACCCAUUCAGGCAUGCUUCUUCACUGUGCCGGAGUCUGUCCUGGACAGUUCUCCUUGGCUUCUGAGCGUGUUUAUGGUGGCCAAAGUCAUCUCUGUUGUUGAGCUUUAGUGUGGAGCAGGACCUGGCAAGGGGCGUGUGCUGUCUCUCUGUGAGGCCAUGACCCGAGCCAGCCUGGCGGAUCCUCCCACUCUGAUGUUUGGAGAGUCAAGCCAAAGCGAGAUCUUAUGUGCUGCCAAGUUGAACAGAUGUGCCUAUGUGGACCAAGAUUGGUAAGCAGUGCUGGUGAUGCGGGGUGCUCCGAGAGUGGACUUACAGAACCCGAGUGCUGGCUCAUACCCAGAUCCCACAAAGGAUGUCGCCUGCUAGAGAUAGCAGGACGGUGGCCAUGAAGGUUGGAACCCGCUAAGGAAUGUGUAACAACUCACCUGCCGAAGCGUGCAGCUCCGAAAAUGGAUGGUGCCCAAGUCAGUGAAGCCGAAUUUGCCUUACAGUCCACCGCUGCUGUGGGCAGCCAAGCAGAGCAUCAGCGUGUAGAAAGGACAUGGGAGAUUGCAGAUCAAGCCGGGGUUGCCCCCCGCUGGAGUGUCUUCUGGCGCAGAUCUUGGUUGUAGUAGCGAAUACUCCAUCGAAUGAAGAGCAGAACAACCCUGCUGUGUGCGGUUGAGGACAGGAGUGGAGCAGGUUUCCACACCAACAGCCGUUGAAUGUGGGUCAGCCGGUCGUGAGCCAAGUGGUAAAUUCACUGAACAACCAAAGCUGCCGUUCCCUUGGGGAACCCAUGGGCUAUCUGAUUGCGUGAUACAAAGUGUUGGAGGGCAAGCUGGCUCUGCCCCAAAGGUGUAUGGCAGGAGUGGCAAACAGGCAAGCAAGUGCAACAUUCUGCUGUGAUGGGCUUGGAGCACCAUGGAUGGUGACCUCCUGUGACUUGGCAAGCAGGCUUCGGGGCAGUGCACCCCCUGUGGAGUUCUCGUUUCCUCCUGAUGCAGGCUCAUGUGGGCUAUCGAUCUCAUCUCAGGGUGGAGGUGUAGGCCCUCCGCCCAGCAAGGCAGUGUAUCCUUGGCACUGGUGGCAUAUGCGUUGCGAUCUGAAGGAACUGCAGCUUGAUAUUCCAAUCUGGCUACACAGCUUCUUGUAUGAACAACCAUGGCGGUCACUGGCUUCAAUGAAAGGCCUGUGGUACAAUGUGCUCCUGGUCCCUUGUCUUCGUACUGAAUCACCGCAGCCGGUCUCCUCGGCUAGACGCCGCUUGUUGACAGACUGAAUGCAGCUAAGGGAAGUCGGCAAACUGGCCAUGUACCUUUGGAAGAUGUGGUGGCUCCAGAGGCCAAGUCAUGGGGCCCCGCUGUGGGCUGAGUGGAGUGGAGUGCCAGGUUUGUCAGUGUGGUGGCCUCGGUCAUCGUGCUGGCACCUGCCUCUGCCAGCUCAGCUCUGCGGUGGGGGGCCACUCAGCCUUCGGGCUGUCUGUGCCCAUCCCUGUGUCUAUCAAGUGGCUCAUGUGGAACUGUUGCUGUGCAGGGGAAUCUGACUGUUUAAUUGAAACACAGCUUUGUGAAGGGACCAGCUGGCUGGUUCCAUGAGGUGACUUCUGCCCAGUGCUCUGAUUGUCAAUGCGAAGAGAUUCAGCCAAGCGCGGGUAAACGGCGGGAGUAACUAUGACUCUCUUAAGGUAGCCAAAUGCCUCGUCAACCAAUUAUUGACGCGCAUGAAUGGAUCAACGAGAUUCCUGCUGUCCCUAGUUGCCGUCUGGUGAACCAACAGCCAAGGGAACGGGCUUGGAUGUGUCAGCGGGGAAAGAAGACCU